ACACACACCAUGGCGGCACAUGUGCGCUCCUUCGGCCAGUGUCCGUGUGUGCAACGCCGGGAAGAUUGCAAAUAGCCAGUGAAUGACGUUGAGCGGCGAAAUAUCUUGGCAUUGACGCGAUUUUGCUGAGAGCGAAGCACACUCGUCAGUGUGUCGAUACAUAGCAUGGAUUGUAUAAUGCGAUGCAUCGCCAGACCGAAGGCAUUGCCUGUGUUCAGUUGCAAGCCGUCCUCCGUUCGUGUCACACAGCUCAAAUCACCGUCGCAUCCAUUCGAUACUCUCAGUGGCUGUUCUGCAAUCGCCAGUUGUAGUUGCGACACUCACAGAUUGCUAUCGUAGAAGUGCAUCGCGAGAGUUUCUCGAGACAUUUUCGGAAGUCAUAUUUUGCUAAUUGCGAAGAAAUUCAAAUAUCACGGGUGGUCAGAACUUCAUGUGAAGGCGCGACGCGAGCAAGUGUUGAUUAAUUGCCCGCAAAUCCGCAAAUUGCACGGACACGGUGAAUCCUCACGUAAUGGUCAACCAGAAAUAAAUUCAAUUGAAAACUACUGUGUGGUAGACAAAAAAAAAACCUUUGAAGUCACGCUGUGUGUGUGGACUUAUUAGAAGUCUUGUCUAAUUGCAACAUUGUUGUUAACAUUUCGCGAGAGGAGCGUUGCAUGUGCAGCAAUAUAUGCAACAAUUGUAUGGAUUUAGUGACUUGUUGCUGGCAGAGUACAUAACACAGUGAAUAUCGCACAUAGUCGCUCUGUCAUGUACCUUAAUGUCUGCAACUUGAGGUGGUUUUCGUGAACUACAGUCGAGCUUUCGCGCUUCAGCCGCUGGCUAUUUUUUCCGUUGUGCUAAGUACUUAUCGCGGAAACGAGUGCCGUCCGCAAGAGCUGCCAAAACUCGAAGACACGAGUGACAAUUUCUUGAAUGAACCCUUAAGAUCCGAAUUAGUGGUACUUAGCUGAUCUGCAUCAGGCGAUCGUGAACCCGUUGGGAUCUCCAAUCGUAGGGCCAAAGCGCGCGAUCAGGUUGUUGUGGUUGAUUGACCGGCGCGCCUGGGGGCAAACGGAGGCAUGCCAAGAGGCAAUCAGUGCGACGAAGAGUGAGAGAAGGUGGCAAAGAGUGAUGAAUGUUUGCCCACGGCAGAUGCAACAAGUCACAGACGGUAAUUUCAAUAACUGAAAGCACAAGUCCCCAUCAUCGCAGCUCAUUUUGAUCCUCUGGAGUGUGUGACAAAAGUGGGCGGACCACGAGACGAAGCUCGACUGUCUCAAGCUCUGGUGUGAUCAUCAAAAGUGGCACGCUGUUGAUGGUGUCGGAGCCCAAUACGUGGAGCAGCGUGAUGUCCAGCUCGGACCUCACAGACUCGAAGUCUGAGUUGUGCGGCGGAGCCCAGGGCUCCAAGGGCAACUCCUUGAUCCCGAGGACGCCACCGAAUUGCGCCCGCUGUCGCAAUCACGGCCUCAAGAUCGCCCUGAAGGGGCACAAGCGCUACUGCAAGUUUCGCUAUUGCAACUGCGAAAAGUGCCGCCUCACGGCCGAACGGCAGCGGGUGAUGGCCCUGCAGACGGCCCUCAGACGUGCUCAGGCUCAGGACGAGGUGCGCCAGAUCUCCGCGGAUGAGGUGCCGCCGACGCCACCGCCAGCCCUGUGCCCACUCGCGACGCCCAAAAGCCAGUGCGACAGCGAGCCGCCGGUGCCCAUCACGGUGCCCACGCCGGCCAGGUCCCUCGAGGGCUCCUGCCACUCCUCCUCGGCGACGCCCUGCUCCGCCACCGGCGAACCCGUGCCAUCCAGCCGCAAGUUGGCGCCCGUCAACCCGACCAUCAGGAACAACACCGCGGCAAGUCAAAGCUCCGAGGUGUUCUUCGACAACUGUCAGAAGUUACUGGAUAAAUUCAAUUAUCCUUGGGAACUGAUGCCCCUCAUGUAUGUGAUCCUGGACAAUGCCAAUGUGGACGUGAGAGAAGCGGCACGAAGGAUUGAAGAAGGUCAAUGCGUAGUGAACGAGUAUACUCGAAUGCAUAAUCUGAACAUGUACGAUGGAGCCGAAUUGAGGGGCUCCACCCGACAAUGUGGAUGAUAAUCAACCGCGGGCUAUUUCAUGUGUUGAAGAGCCUUUCAUCAAUCAACAUCUGAGAGGAUAUGCAAAUGAAGCAACACAUAUUUUAUUGCUCGAUCACUCGUAACACACCUAAGUUCAAAUUACAAGAUUAAGAGUAUCUUUAUCCCAAGGAUCGUUUUUGCGGUUGCAGCCAAGGUUGGCGGCUGCACUCGUGCUAUUUUAUUUGUAGAUUUUAGUCUUAUCCACUAAGUGUACAUAAACUUAUGCGUGUACGGCCGAGUUUUCUUUAGUCUCUUCAUCACAAUCAUCCUUAGUGCUUAAACUCCUGUGCUUCGGACGCAAAGGACGCAUUUUUGCUCAGAGCCCUUGUGGAUAAUUAUUGUUUUAAAUGAUUAUUUGUGAGUAGAUAUUAGUAUUUGCGGUAUUGUGAAUGUUGGUGUUAAAAGUGAAUUCUUCAAUCAACACAAAAUCUUCAAUCAACAUCACCAAUCAAGAAACUCACGUGGACUUCUCCAAUCAACUUGUCGGCGAAUGAAAAUCAAUCAACACGAAUCAAUUUCAAUACAAUUUCCAACGAUAUUUCACGGCGGAGAUGAAAAAUGGGCAGCAUUGCAUCAAAAUUGACAACAAUAAGAAGUGGAUGGCUGUGGAAAAGAAGAUUGCCAGCAAAAGAGCGGAACGCGAGAGUGAGAGAGAAAAAAGUGCAAGGAGAAAAGCCAUUAAUGUCCAGAGGCGAAUGCCAUCAGCGUGUGUACGAGCAGAAGAGGGUAUUUGCCGCCCCCUCCGCCGCCCAACCCCUACUCAUCCUACUACUACACAUACUUGGCGGCCUCCGCGAAUCCAUACUACAACGUGGAGGCGUUCCUGUCGUCGCAGCUGCAGAACAAGAACCUCAACGCGGAGAGCGGUCCUGCACUGCGGAACAUCUCGGACUCGCCGCUGUCCUACUCAUCCCUGCCUCUUCCCACUGCGCUACAGAUCACGCGCCUGAUACCAACGAGCAGCCUGGCCGGUGCAUCGACGUAGCGAUGUGUUCCAAAUGUGAUUCACCUAGUUGUAAUUAUGCUCCAAUUUCCAUUGUCGAUUAGGACUGCAGGACAUCGUGACAAAUUUAUUUACGAACCGAACGACGGACUUCUGAUUGGAAUCCAAAUCAGCACAAGGAAGACAAUUAAGCCAUGAAAAUGCAGCAGAGGAGUAAAUCUCAGAAUCCUUCCACGGACAGCGCCACAAAUGCAGUUGGUCUUCAUUAGCGCGAGGAGAAGUUGAAUUGUGGGGGUGGAAAAAAAUUCUAAUGAAGAACCAAAAAGUUGGCCAAAAACAGUGAGAGAAAAAAAUAUCAAUAUAUUGAGAAACUUUUAUUGAUGUCAGAGAGAAAUAUUCGUCCAGAAUCCGUCGCAAGUCAUCAAGCUCUUAUUGUAUUCAAUGUAAAAUUUCGUCUUUUUGUGAUGUCGAAUCGAGGGAAGUUUUAUUGUGAUUUAAUCUUAUUGGGAGUCUUUGAAGUUUAAGUCUAUUUUGGGGGAAGACAGAGAGAGAUUUGAACCGGGAAUGAGAGCGAAGAGAAAUUCAUACGAGAGCUUUAAUUGAACUUUAUUUAAAUGUAUGUUGGAAAAUGUAUAAGAAAUUGUGAACAUGAGAAGUUUUCAUCUAUUUUUUGAUACAAUCGACUUUUUUUUUGUAAAUUCUACAAAUUGUUUCCAAAAUGAAUGCCAUCCAAAAUUUACUUUUAAAGACAAAACUAAUCUCUAAAGGUUUUUAAGGGAGAGCAAAUGAGGAUUUAAAGCCACUUGCGUGAGAUGGAAAUUGAGAACAGAGUCAAAAUAUUUAAUAAAUGAGAGAAGGAUUAUAUUUAAUUACCAAAAAACGCCAACGAAUUUAUUAAUGAUAUUUCUACUGUAUGUUUGUAAUAAAUAUUAAUAGUGUUGUGUGAUGAAGCUACUGAAGCAACAAAUUUUACUAUAUUAUGCUGAAAAAACAGUCCUUUUUUGUAGGCACAGCGAGAGUGGAUAAAAUUAUAUGAUAAUUGAAAUUGUUGAAUUAAAAAUUUAAAGAGGAGAUAUUGAGCAAAAUUGCACACAUGGAAAAUGCGUAAUGCAAUUGCGUACCUAAUUUAAUGUCACACAAUCUUUUUUACAUGAUAUUUUUCGAGUUGUCGCUGUAUAAAAUUGAUUUUUUUUUUAUCUGUGGAAAAAUUCAAAGAGUAAACCCAAUAUGCAUAAUGAUAAAACACACUUACUGCAUAAUGUAUUUAAAAAAAAUAUUAAAUGUAUGUUCUACAAAUUAAAUAAUAUACUUGUAGGUGUAAUUAACUAUGAUGAUGGCCGUUACAAAAAUAAUUACAUGCUAUUACACAAAUAUAAUACAUUAACAAUUUAAAAAACAA